UACAAUAUUGAUAAUGAUUGACAACAAGCAUUCAUACUCAAUACUGAGUUUUAACAAAAACUCAACUCAAUCCAAAUAGUAUAAAAUUAAUUGAAAAAAAAAGAUUGGAUUACAUCAAUUAUCAAUGGAAGAAAUCAAUUCAGAUCAGUUCGAGUGUUUAACACAGUCCAUACCCUAAAGCAGAUUUGCAGUCAAGUAACUUUUUCAGAGAAAAUAGAGCUUGACAUCCAUUCAAGAAGCCAACCACAUGUAUGUACAUAAAGAGAACACCUCUUUGUAUGUAACAAUAGAAGAUGGUGAGAUGAUGAAGAUGAAGAGAGGAAGAAGGACAAGAUGAACACUUGGGACUUUAAAGUGGUUCGGCAAAUAUACCUACAUCCACUAUGCUUUUGGGAGCAAGAUGAAGAUGGUUAGAUGAUGAAGAUGAAGAGAGGAAGAAGGAGAAGAUGAAGACUCAAGAUUUUUAAAGUGGUUCGACAAAUAUUCCUACGUCCACCGUGCUUUUGGGAGCAAGAUGUUAUUUUCAGUUAUGUGUGUAAUUUCAAAUAAUACAAGGUAUCUAGUUAAAUCUCUGGUUAAAAAAGAAGUUCAAACUAACUUUUAACUAUAUUUAUCUUACAAAAUGAUAACUAAUUUGUUAAGAUUUCUACGGAUACUCUGGAUUAUUGGGAGUUUGCAAGCAUGAGUACACUAUUGUAUUGAAUUAUUUGGGUGUAAACAGGUCGGUAUAUAGACAUUUAUUGUAUUUUUACUUGAUGCUAA